ensembl:lncRNA
GUUGUGACUGUGUUGCCUAUUUUAGAAACAUGUUCUGUGAAAGUGCUUUUGUUCUCCUUGUGAAACCAGCUGUUACUCAUAAACACACACAACCUUUUAAACAGGUGGGUUUCGCCUGUCGCGUUCCUGAUGUGUAUAUUCACUUUAGCCUAGGGUCCCAGCUUUCCGCCCUCUGCACGCUGCCGCAACUCGCUGACUGCACAAGGGACCUGUCACUUGUGUGCUGCUAGGAGUUCCCCAGGGUCCAUUCUCACUGCCCAUCCCUGCAGCAGCCUCGUCUUUGUGCAUUCAGUGUCCAGUGAAGAUGGGUCUGCCUUCCACGGCCAAGCUGUCCUUCUAUACUUUUGACCCUAUUUUCUCCCACAUUCUUUCAGGACUUUGUUCCAGUAAAUUAUUGCCUUAUCUCAGUCUCUCCCUUGAUGUGGGGCCUCAGGCUGUAAGUGUUGGGAUUGGUAAUAGAGACUGCUCCCUGCCUGUCAAGGACCAGGAUUCUCCAACUCUGCUCCAGCAGCUAAAGGAUUAAACUCCCAGCCUCCGUUGGAGCUGCGGGUUGCCAGAGGCAGGUUGCUAAACAAAGCAGAGCAUUGUGUUCCCGGCCUCUGUGUCAUCAUCAUCAUCGCCCUUUGGAACUUCAUGAGCCAGACCAGGACUUCCACUUUCGCCUGAGAAAGACCAGAUACUCUGAACAGCUACCACCCACCUGGCAGUAACUCAAAAUUGUUUCUUUAAUGUUCAUAAAUGUAUGGCUGAGCUGUCAAGAAAGGAAUCCAUUCUCUGAGGCAAAAAAUGAUGUGAAAACAAAACUGAAGAAAGACAAGAGAGCCCUCAUCUCAUGUACCCCCCGGAGCACCUACCAAGUCUUGGUGACACUGAGCACCUAUGAGAUUGAACUUGGGGGGUUAGCAGGAGGGCUUUGCAGCACAAAGAGUGAAUCUUUAUGCAAGUUAAAAACAAUCACAUCAGGAGCUGGAAUACGUGGAUGGAACACCAAACGACAAAACAACCUCGUGGAGGGAACUGGGGGAAGAUAACCUUGGAAAUGAGUAACCUUGGACCUAAGUAACCUUGGAAAUGAGUGGAGUCUGUAAGAUGAAGCCCAAGAGAAACUGCAUGAGGACUGGGCUGCAGUUGAUAAAUUUCUCACACUGGUGCCUGUUAACAAUUGUGAUCCUGCUCUAAUGUACUAGAUUUAAACAAAUGGAACCAGAUGGUGGGAGCCAGGCUCCUCACUGUUAUUUAGAGUGUGAGGUUACAGAUAAGCCUAGAGUGAUGCACCUAGAGUAAUGGAUUAGAGUUGGACCUUCCGUAUGAACUCAUACAGGCACAGCUAGUUACAUAUUUAGGUGGUGUGUAUACACAGGUUUAUCAGGGCUCCCCUGAUAGCUCAGUUGGUAAUCCACCUGUAAUGCAGGAGACCCGGUUCUGUUCCUGGGUCGGGAAGAUCUGCUGGAGAAGGAAUAGGCUACCCACUCUAGUACUCUUGGGCUUUCCUUGUGGCUCAGCUGGUAAAGAAUCUGCCCACAAUGCUGUACCUGGGUUGGAAAGAUCCCCUGGAGAAGGGAAAGGCUACUCACUCCAGUAUUAUGGCCUGGAGAAUUUCAUGGACUAUAUAGUCUAUGGGGCUGCAAAGUCUAUGGGGUCGCAAAGGUCAGACACAACUGAGUGACUUUCACCUUCACAUACACAGGUUAAUAAACACAUUUCCUUGUUCUGUCAGUUGAAGGGGCUUAAAAGCAAUGACUCUCCGAUUUCAAAGACCACACCUACUAUUCAGAUACUGGUUUCUAAUACCAUUUCCUAAAAAAGAAACCAAAACUACAUACAUGGCUGAUUCUACCACAGGAGUAGAAAAUCGACAAGACCAACCUGGAUCAUCUUGUAGUGCCAGAAAGUGAAGAUGUGCUCAAAACAAAACCAAAAAUCAC